rnacentral:lncRNA from 1 species
CUGCCCCACCCGCACCCACCCCUCUCCGCCUCCAGGAAGCCACACAGCUUCCCGGCUAAUUUGAUCAAGAUGAGUAAAAGCAAAACCAUCUGGUUUCUUUCGACAGCUGAUUCCAGAAUCGCUAUUGUAAAAGACCUGUCUUCCAGCUUAAGAAUUCUAGCUAUACAGAUUCCAAACAGCCGAUCAUCAGUGUGGGCAAGUAGAAGAAAAAUCAGUCACCUCAGCAAAGCAUUGGAUGGAACUACGCGGCACACGUCCAUCAAUGGGGUCAGGUGUUAAAGACUGGCAGCUUCUUGGCUUACCUUGAAACGUUUCAUGGGUAAUUGCAACAUCUUGUGCACCCCAAGAAUACUCUCAAAAUGAAAUUGCUCAGAGAGCUGUCGACAAACACACUGGUAACUGGUCUACCCAGUUCUAAUGGUUGGUUGCCACAUGUGUAUACAGGCCCUGUGUUUACCUCAGUGGAGCCUUUGGUCUGUUGGGAGUAGUUGUUAACUCUACAGAGCAUAUGGUCUGGUUCUGAUCCCUGCAGGGAUAUUGAUAUUCUGUAGAUGCACGAUUUGCCAGGUCAGAUUUGUUUUUUUUUCCUGCUUCUUUCCUCUUGAGAAACCAAUAUUUUUUCCCAUUCUGUAUCACAAAGAGAAUGUUUUGUUUUGUUUUGUUUUCUGAUUGGACUUUUA